AAGCAACGCGAAGAACCUUACCAGGUCUUGACAUCCCGAUGCUAUUUCUAGAGAUGAAAGUUACUCGGUACAUCGGUGACAGGUGGUGCAUGGUUGUCGUCAGCUCGUGUCGUGAGAUGUUGGGUUAAGUCCCGCAACGAGCGCAACCCUUAUCGUUAGUUCGCUUACCAUUAAGUUGAGCACUCUAGCGAGACUGCCCGGGUUAACCGGGAGGAAGGUGGGGAUGACGUCAAAUCAUCAUGCCCCUUAUGUCUAGGGCUACACACGUGCUACAAUGGUGAGGACAAAGAGACGCAAGACCGCGAGGUGGAGCAAAUCCUACACAAACCUCAUCCCAGUUCGGAUUGCAGGCUGAAACUCGCCUGCAUGAAGCCGGAGUUGCUAGUAAUCGCGAAUCAGCAUGUCGCGGUGAAUACGUUCCCGGGCCUU
rnacentral:rRNA from 1 species